CGGUGAUAGCAAUAUCAUAGUGGCGCACGGGUGCGUAACACGUAUGCAACCUACCUAUUAUUGGGGGAUAGCCUUUGGAAACGGAGAUUAAUACCGCAUAAUACGAUUGACUGGCAUCGGUUGAUUGUUAAAGCUUAGGCGAUAAUAGAUGGGCAUGCGUCCAAUUAGUUAGUUGGUUAGGUAACGGCUGACCAAGACGAUGAUUGGUAGGGGAUCUGAGAGGAUAAUCCCCCACACUGGCACCGAGAUACGGGCCAGACUCCUACGGGAGGCAGCAGUAGGGAAUAUUGGGCAAUGGGCGGAAGCCUGACCCAGCCAUGCCGCGUGCAGGAAGAAGGCGUUAUGCGUUGUAAACUGCUUUUUUAUAGGAAGAAGGAUCCCUCGCGAGGGAAGGUGACGGUACUAUAAGAAUAAGCACCGGCUAACUCCGUGCCAGCAGCCGCGGUAAUACGGAGGGUGCAAGCGUUGUCCGGAUUUAUUGGGUUUAAAGGGAGCGUAGGCGGUUUAUUAAGUCAGUGGUGAAAGACGGUCGCUCAACGAUUGCAGUGCCAUUGAUACUGGUAGACUUGAGUGAGAUUGAGGUAGCUGGAAUGGAUAGUGUAGCGGUGAAAUGCAUAGAUAUUAUCCAGAACACCGAUUGCGAAGGCAGGUUACUAAGUCUUAACUGACGCUGAGGCACGAAAGUG
rnacentral:rRNA from 1 species